rnacentral:rRNA from 1 species
UACGUAGGGUGCGAGCGUUGCCCGGAUUUAUUGGGCGUAAAGGGCGCGCAGGCGGCCACGCACGUCCGUUGUGAAAUCGCUCGGCUCAACUGGGCGGGGUCAGCGGAUACGGCGUGGCUGGAGCAAGCUAGGGGGCAAUGGAAUUCCCGGUGUAGUGGUGGAAUGCGUAGAUAUCGGGAGGAACACCAGUGGCGAAGGCGGUUGCCUGGAGCUUUGCUGACGCUGAUGCGCGAAAGCGUGGGGAGCGAUCCGG